rnacentral:rRNA from 1 species
AACGUAGGUGGCGAGCGUUAUCCGGAAUUACUGGGCGUAAAGCGUGCGCAGGCGGUCUGCUAAGACAGGUGUGAAAUCCCCGGGCUUAACCUGGGAACUGCGCUUGUUACUGGCAGGCUGGAGUGUGGCAGAGGGGGGUGGAAUUCCACGUGUAGCAGUGAAAUGCGUAGAGAUGUGGAGGAACACCGAUGGCGAAGGCAGCCCCCUGGGCUAACACUGACGCUCAUGCACGAAAGCGUGGGGAGCAAACAGG